AAGCCAUGAUGAAAACACUAUCUUAAAUAAUCCUUAAAUAUAUUGCAUGCUUCAUAUAUUAAUUCCCCAUCUUCCUAAGCAAAGCCUUGGAUUUUAUUCCUCGUGUAU